rnacentral:SRP_RNA from 2 species
GCCAGGUGUGGUGGCAGGUGCCUGUAGUCUCAGCUACUUGGGAGGCUGAGGCAGGAGGAUCACUAGAGCCUAGGAGUUCUGGGCUAUAGUGUGCUAUGCCCAUCGGGUAUCUGCACUAAGUUCAACAUUAUUAUGGUGACCUCCCGGGAGCAAGGAACCACCAGGUUGCCUAAGGAGUGGUGAACCGGCCCAGGUAGGAAACAGAGCAGGUCAAAACUCCCACGCUGAUCAGUAGUGGGAUCACACCUGUGAAUAGCCACUGUACUCCAGCCUGGGCAACAUAGUGAGACCCUGUCUCUA